UUAGAAAUGUUAACAACAGGUGCUGG
rnacentral:piRNA from 1 species